UACGUAGGGUGCAAGCGUUGUCCGGAAUUAUUGGGCGUAAAGAGCUCGUAGGCGGUUUGUCGCGUCGAAUGUGAAAACCCGGGGCUCAACCCCGGGCCUGCAUUCGAUACGGGCAGACUAGAGUUCGGUAGGGGAGUCUGGAGUUCCUGGUGUAGCGGUGAAAUGCGCAGAUAUCAGGAGGAACACCGGUGGCGAAGGCGGGACUCUGGGCUGGUAUUGACGCUGAGGAGCGAAAGCGUGGGUAGCGAACAGG
rnacentral:rRNA from 1 species